CGGGGAGGCAUCAUGGCAGUCGAACGGGGUACCCCCAAAGGAGUUUUCGGACAACUGCGGGGAAUACCUAGUGGCGGCAUUUAAAGUAANGGGUGAGUAANCUGGCUUGGAGGGGGGCCCUUUAAAUGGAAANAGNUGNUAAUAUUGUAUGAUGNAGUUGAGUCGUAUGGNUCUGAAUGNNAAAGAUUUAUCGCUCUGAGAUGGACUCGCGUCUGAUUAGCUAGUUGGUGGGGCAACGGCCCACCAAGGCGACGAUCAGUAGCCGGACUGAGAGGUUGGCCGGCCACAUUGGGACUGAGACACGGCCCAGACUCCUACGGGAGGCAGCAGUGGGGAAUAUUGGGCAAUGGGCGCAAGCCUGACCCAGCAACGCCGCGUGAAGGAAGAAGGCUUUCGGGUUGUAAACUUCUUUUCUCAGGGACUAUUUAAGUGACGGUACCUGAGGAAUAAGCCACGGCUAACUACGUGCCAGCAGCCGCGGUAAUACGUAGGUGGCAAGCGUUAUCCGGAUUUACUGGGUGUAAAGGGCGUGUAGGCGGGAAAGCAAGUCAGAAGUGAAAACCAUGGGCUCAACCUGUGGCCUGCAUUUGAAACUGUUUUUCUUGAGUAAUGGAGAGGCAGACGGAAUUACCUAGUGUAGCGGUGAACUGCCCACAUAUUACGAGGAAACCCCACCGCCGAAGGCCGCCUGUUUGCUUUCACCUGACCUUUAUUUACUCAUGCUUGUGCACACCAAUCGACUAUAUAUUU
rnacentral:rRNA from 1 species